rnacentral:lncRNA from 1 species
AGAGACAGCUGGGAUCUGGUGUUGCUGUGGCUGAGGCAUAGGCCAGCAUCUGUAGCCCUAAUUCGACUUCUGACCUGGGAACUUCAUAUGCCAUAGGUGCAGUCCUAAAAAGAUAAAGGAAAGGAAAAGCCUUCUGGCUAGAGAGCAUGUUCGCUGCGCAGCGGCACCUCCUUGCCUGCUGAUAAGAAAAGCGCAGGUCAUCAUGUUGCCCACAAUCCUUGUGAGCUCAUUUCUGCACCUAGUUGCCAACAUCAGUAGGCAGGAUUGGGGAUUGGUGCCCACAUUACUAGAAACAUAAAUGAUUAAAUUUGUGCCUUGAGAACCGCAUAAGAUUCUAUGCGAGGUGCAGACAGGUAUUUGGCUUUCCAAAGAAGAGAUAUCAUCAUUGCGUCUUUCUUUUAUACUAGAAUUCAUGAAGAACAAACCUGUGCAAAGGACUGUGGACAAUGUCGACUUGGACUAGGUCUCGGUUAGCCUCACCCCAGGGCUUUUCCCACAUUCAUCUCUACAGCGCUUAGAGCUCUUGCAGCAUCUGUUAGGCCAGCGUAAAUAGCAUGGGAUGAAUGUUGCUCUUAAAUAUAAUAAGAUAAAAUAAUUUUUAAACUAUAAAUAUCCUUUUCAAAUGUCAUUUUGUCUUCAGCAUUUUUCUCAUCAGAGGAACAAGAAUUAUUGAGUUGGAAAAGAGAGGAGGAGUCCCUGCACUAACAGACCUCAGAGUUAGAAGCAAUUGAAUUCAGGGCAUAUUUGAAUAUUUCUCUAAAGAAAAAAAUUAUUUUAGACUGCUUUUUACUUGUAGUAGACUCUAGAUAUUUUUUCUGUUUAAGUCAGUGAGCCUGCAAUAAACUACAUGUCUUUAGAAUGUAUGUCAGAGUCAGAUGGCCUUUUAUUCUAUCACGUCUAAUUUUUCAACUUGUCUUCUUCAAAUGUAUUGUUUCCUGUAAAUCCUUAAUGUACUAUUAGUGUCAAAUUCAGAAAUGGAUUAUCUGUUUAAAUAUUUAUAAACCUAAGCAGGGUGUUUUCUGUGAUUAUUGCCACAUAAAUUACUGAUUUUAGAGAGAGUGCACAUUUUCAAACAUUGAGACCAAUUUUUUUUUUCAUUAAAAAAUUUCUAGGAGUUCCCGUCAUGGCUUAAUGAUUCGUUAACCACAGAGCCACAAAGGAAACUCCUGUUCAACAGACUUUGAGUGAAUGUCUCAGGAGAAGUGACUGGGUAGCUCCCAUUCCAAAAGCAUUUCAGUGCCUGGAGGGAAGACAGACUGUUAUAUCAAAUAAUCACAAUAAAAAAGAUAGGGAGACAGCUGAGUAUUAUCAAACAGUAGCAAUUCUUAUGUUCUGUGUUUUUCUGUUUCCCGUGUAUUCUUUUUUAUUUUUUGGCCAUGCCACAGUGUCUGGAAGUUACCAGGCCAGGAUCAAACCUGUACCAUAGCUGCAAUCCAAACCACAGAAGUCACAAUGCCAGAUCCUUAACCCACUGUGCCACCAGGGAACUCAGCUCGCUCAUAUUCUUAUGUUGAAGUAAUAAUCCCCAAUGAGAUGGCAUUAGGGGGUGGGGCCUUUAGAAGGCAGUUUGGUUUAGAUGAAGUCAUAGGGAUGAGGUCUCCAUAACAGGAUUAGCAUCCUUACAUGGAGAAAAAGAGACUAGAGCUUUCUCUCUCUACCAUGUAAGGACACAGCAAGGAGAUAGCACUGCAAACCAGGAAGAGGGCCUUUACUAGAACCUGACCAAGCAGGUACCCUGACCUCAGGUUUCCCGGCCUCCAAAACUGUAAGAAAUAAAUUUUCUAUUGUUUAAGCCACCCGGUCUAUGGUACUUUUGUUACAGCAGCCUGAGCUGACUAAAACAGCAAUUAACUGUUCCCCAAAGUUAAGUGCGGGUGUGGGCCUACUGCUCCAGAGGCAGUAUCACCCAACGCACAGAUUCAAGACCUUGGUCAAAACCUUCCGGUAAGUCUCCUUCCAGGUGCUGGCUUGUCUUAAAUUCCUCACGCUCUUCCUCUCAGUAGUAAAUCAUCACUAAUGCUGACUAAAUGGAAAAGUCCUGCUUAACCACUGGAGACUCCGGGUGCCAGGUGCUCCUGAAAUAUCACAGGCAGAGUUUCUGCUACAAGGUGGUUAAAAAAAAGUACUCCAGUAAGGAUAACCUGACCCCCUUGCUGUACNAAAAAAAAAAAAAAAAAAAAA